rnacentral:rRNA from 1 species
CUACGGAGGGUGCGAGCGUUAAUCGGAAUUACUGGGCGUAAAGGGUGCGUAGGCGGCUUGAUAAGUCGGAUGUGAAAGCCCCGGGCUUAACCUGGGAAUUGCAUACGAUACUGUCAGGCUAGAGUAUGUCAGAGGUUGGCGGAAUUCCUGGUGUAGCGGUGAAAUGCGUAGAUAUCAGGAGGAACACCAGUGGCGAAGGCGGCUAACUGGGGCAAUACUGACGCUGAGGUGCGAAAGCGUGGGGAGCAAACAGGAUUAGAAACCCCUGUAGUCC